AAGGGACCCCUGAACAUUAGGUCCAGUCGUGACCGACUCUGGGGUUGCGGCGCUCAUCUCGCUUUAUUGGCCGAGGGAGCCGGCGUACAGCUUCCGGGUCAUGUGGCCAGCAUGACUAAGCCGCUUCUGGCGAACCAGAGCAGCGCAUGGAAACGCCGUUUACCUUCCCACCGGAGUGGUACCUAUUUAUCUACUUGCACUUUGAUGUGCUUUCGAACUGCUAGGUUGGCAGGAGCAGGGACCGAGCAACAGGAGCUCACGCCAUCGUGGGGAUUCGAACUGCUGACCUUCUGAUCAGCAAGUCCUAGGCUCUUUGGUUUAACCCACAGCGCCACCCGCGUCCCUUACUAAAGAUACUGGGCUUUAAAUGACAAGACAGUGAAUGCAUCACCUCAACCAAUUUGUCGAUGCAGCAGUUAAACUCACACCCCCAUGAAAGCUUUAUGUAAAUUACUGAACACAGUUUAAGUAGUUUGAACAGGAAUUGGUUACUAUGCUGAGGGGUACGGUACAGAUCUCACUCCUGUAUUGGUGUCCCCCCUGGGAUGCAAAAAGAGCUUUUCCAUGGGUGCUGAACUUGGUCUUUAGGCCUGCGUACUCAAAAGCCCAGUCAAGAGUGUUGGAACUCUAUAAUGUAGCUCAGGAGAAAUGUGUCCUGUUCUGCAUUUAGGAAGUGCUUUCUAAUCAUGCAUGAAUGUCAUUGCAUCCAAGCCAGUAUUGAUGGCCGGUGUGUGUACAUUAAAUUGUAGUCCAAAUUACACUUGAAGUUAUGAUUAAGGUUUUACAUCCCACUGUCUUAUUAGUAAGACUAUUUAUAUAUCUCCACCAGCUUGCUACAAGUUACUUUUGUUCAGGAAGUUUUGACUAACACAGUAGCAUCCCAAGAAGGUACCGUAUUUUUCGCUCUAUAAGACGCACCAGACCACAAGACGCACCUAGUUUUUGGAGGAGGAAAACAAGAAAAAAAAAUAUUCUGAAUCUCAGAAGCCAGAACAGCAAGAGGGAUCGCUGCGCAGUGAAAGCAGCAAUCCCUCUUGCUGUUCUGGCUUCUGGGAUAGCUGCGCAGCCUGCAUUCGCUCCAUAAGACGUACACACAUUUCCCCUUACUUUUUAGGAAGGAAAAAGUGAGUCUUAUAGAGCAAAAAAUAUGGUAAGUCAGAGGCAGCUGAAUAUCUGACACUGAUUAUUUGGUGAAAUACUGCUUGGGAUUUAUGCAUAAACACAUAACUGGCAUAUUAAACCUGAAAUCAGGGGAAAUGUUUUAGUUUUGCGUUUACUUGCCUGUUCUAUAGAAGCUUCAACAAUUCUAUGGUAAAGUUCAAAUAUUUUAUUUUUUAUUCAUACAGUAUGAAGGUUCCUAUAGUUCCAACAGUGUAUGAUGUAGCAUGCAGAGGAAAAUCUAAACAUUCAACAUAACGCAUUUUCCACACACAAACUAAAAAAAAAAAAAAAAGGCUCAUCCCCCAAUAAGAAAGUAAUGUUAGCACUAUUUUUCUAUAACGCCAGCCAGGAUAUGCACAAGCAAUUAAGAAAUAGAAAGCAUUUGCUAAAAUGUUUGUAACAAAUACUUAUGUACAAAAAAUUCACAAAAGACUAGUUCCCCCUUGAAGCAGAGCACAUGGCAGUUGACACUGGAACAGAUACCACCACUGGCUGGGAUUCUAAGCCACGGACUGAUCCAGAAGAAGAAAGUUACAUGUAGUGGAGAUUCUCUGUUUUUAACAUUUACCAAAGUUUGGCAACAUUAUCGUUUUAAAUUAUGCAAAUCAUGUAAACAAGAGGAACGUUUCAAAUCGAUCUACAUGCAAAACUUCAUGUCAUGCAAGGACACCAAGCACCUGGAUUUCUCUCUCACAGACAGAGCCCAUGAUGUGCAGCACUCAGUUGAAGGAACAGCUAUGGCAGGCAGGCAGGCAGCUGAUUUUAAGUCCAUACAACCUGCCCUUUCCAUUGCCAAUUUUAAAACCUUUUAAAUAGGAAAAACUGCUACACAGGAAAGGGUGCGCUAUCCUAAAAGUCGAAUGAAUGUUUUUCUUCUAGCCAAUAGUACCAUUGCAGAAAAGGAAAGGGAUGAUAUAAAGUUGUAGAACAUGGCUCGCUACUUUUAUAUCACACAUAUAAAGUUACUAUCCAUUACAAGUCAUGAUAUGGACAAAUCUAGA